UCGCCUGUUUAUCAAAAACAUCGCUCUCCGAAAACUCAAACAUGGAGAGUCCUGCCUGCCCAGUGACUUUUAUAGUUAAACGGCCGCGGUAUCCUGACCGUGCGAAGGUAGCGUAAUUACUUGUCUCCUAAAUAGAGACUGGCAUGAAUGGCAAGACGGGGCCCUACUGUCUCCUCAUCUUUUACCUGAAAUUCACAUCUUUGUGAAGAGGCAGAGAUAAAAUCGUUAGACGAGAAGACCCUAUCGAGCUUAAGUCUAAGCAAAAACUUUGAAUCCCCUUACCUCAUCUCUAAUCUAUUUAUUUAAUUUGUGAGACUGAGGGGUCGUUUUUUGUGGUGACUUUAGUUGGGGCAACUGCGGAGAAAGAAAAUCCUCCGCUAACAUUAAAUUUCUAGGGACACAGCCCUGAAAUAACUUUUUAAAUGACCCAUCUCGGUGAUCAAAGGAACAAGUUACCGUAGGGAUAACAGCGUAAUCUUUUUUGAGAGUUCAUAUUGACAAAAAGGUUUGCGACCUCGAUGUUGGAUCGGGACAUCCUAAUAGUGCAGAAGCUUUUAAGGGUUGGUCUGUUCGACCAUUAAAGUCCUACGUGAUCUGAGUUCAGACCGG
rnacentral:rRNA from 1 species